GGUAGAGUCUGGAGGAGAGUUGCAGAGACACUCAAGUCCAGGGGGAAGGAGAAGUCGGCGCCGGCCUUAGGAAAGGCUGAGAAACGGGAACGGAGAGACCGGGAGCGGGGGACGGGAGGGCUGAGAAAACGGGAGGAGAACAAGUGGAGAAGGACACAGAGACGAGGAGCCAGAGCCUUCACGGGAGGCAGACGGAAGCCCCACCUUACCAGCUCUGUGACAGCGGGCAAAUUACUUCAUGUCUCUGGGCCUCAAUCUUCUCAUCUGCAAAAUAGGAGGUGAAGGUGGAGGAGAGUAAUCCUGUCCCCGGGGCUUUGCUUUUCUCCCUUCAUCCGCCCCUGCCCCCUUCCCUGCUCUGGCCGGCUCUGUGUCUGGGAGGUUGACCGCUUGGCCUUUGUCCCUGGGCCCCGUGGCCAGCGGGUGGCCGUUGGGCAGCACCCACUUACAGGAGCUCUGGGGGAAGAAGAGGAGCCGGGGUACUCGUUCCCCUGCUUUGGCCCCUCCUGUCCCGCCAUGACUGCAGCUUCGCAAACACAGCAUCUGCCCCUUGCCCUGUCUGCCCCGGGGGUCACCAUGACUUCCGGCCCAUGCUGGUGCCACACCACCCCCCUCUGAUCCCCUUCACCUGCCGGCCCGGCUGUAGCGAACCCUUACAUCAGUGCCUCUUGAAGCUCCGGGUUGGGGUGCAUUUUCCCCGGGGCCCUGUCGGGUCAGCACAGCACUGGUCACCGUCCAGCUCCUGCCUUCCGGGGUGGGGGUGCGGAGAUGGUGACCCUCAGGGAGUGAUGCCAACACUGAGGAGCACUUGGGGACCUCUUAGCUCUUUAAGUCCUCACGUGAAGCAGGUGUGGGGUUAUUUGCCUCUCUGAGAUGAGAAACAUGAGGCUUGGGCAUUUAAGCAGCAUCACUAUGGAAUAAGAGCAGUGAGGGGGCUGUUUCCUCCGUGUGACAGGCCAGGUCAGAGGGGCAGCUGUGAAUGACAAUAAUAACAAUAGUAGCUAAAAUGUGUUAAUAUUUCCCGACUGCCAGACACAGUUCAUAUAUACUUUAACAUAUGCUUCUUAAUUCAUUUAAUCCUCACGACAACCCUAUCAGGUGGCUGCUAUCCUUAUUGCCAUUUUACAGUUGUGGUAACGGAGGCGCAGAGGGGUUGAGUAACUUUCCCACGGCCACACAGCAGAGCUGGGCUGGAACACCGUCAGUCUAGCUCCAGAUCUGCCACUCUCACCCCUUCCUAGGUACCCCUUUGGGUCCCUUGAGGAGGGGCAGGCAGGGUGAGCAUCCUGCAUUCCAGGCAGUGUAGACAGCAUGGGCAGAGCCUUGGAUAGGAAGGAGCUCUUGUGGUG
rnacentral:lncRNA from 1 species